GAACGCUGGCGGCGUGCUUAACACAUGCAAGUCAAGGGUAAAGUCUCAGCUUGCUGAGAUGAGUAUACUGGCGGAUGGGUGAGUAACACGUAGGUAAUCUACCUACAGGACAGGGAUAACACAGCUAACGCGGUGCUAAUACCUGAUAAAGCGAUUGUUAUAAGAGAUGGUCGUUAACGGCUGGCAUUAGCUAGCGCCUGUAGAUGAGCCUGCGUCCCAUUAGUUAGUUGGUAGGGUAACGGCCUACCAAGGCGACGAUGGGUAGCCGGCCUGAGAGGGUGAGCGGCCACACUGGGACUGAGAUACGGCCCAGACUCCUACGGGAGGCAGCAGUGAGGAAUAUUGCGCAAUGGCCGAAAGGUUGACGCAGCGACGCCGCGUGAGGGAUGAAGCUUUUAGGAGUGUAAACCUCUGUUAGGAGGGAAGAAUAACGGCAAUUCGAACAGGGUUGUCGGAUGCCGGUACCUCCAGAGGAAGCCCCGGCUAACUCCGUGCCAGCAGCCGCGGUAAUACGGGGGGGGCUAGCGUUGUCCGGAAUUACUGGGCGUAAAGGGCGCGUAGGCGGGAUAGCAAGUCAGUGGUGCAAACUUGAGGCUUAACUUUGAGCUUGCCAUUGAUACUGUUAUUCUUGAGUUCGGCAGAGGGAAGUGGAAUUCCUGGUGUAGCGGUGAAAUGCGUAGAUCUCAGGAAGAACACCGGUGGCGAAGGCGGCUUCCUGGUCCGAUACUGACGCUGAGGCGCGAAAGCGCGGGGAGCGAACAGGAUUAGAUACCCUGGUAGUCCGCGCUGUAAACGAUGGGUACUAGGUGUUGGUUGUAGAGAUCAGCGCCGGAGUAAACGCAUUAAGUACCCCGCCUGGGGAAUACGGUCGCCAGGACUGAAACUCAGGGGAAUUGACGGGGGCCCGCACAAGCGGUGGAGCAUGUGGUUUACUUCGAUGCAACGCGAAGAACCUUACCUCGGCUUUGACUGCAGGUGCUAUCUCCUGAAAGGGAGUGUCCUUCGGGACACCUGUAGAGGUGCUGCAUGGCUGUCGUCAGCUCGUGCUGUGAGGUGUUGGGUUAAGUCCCGCAACGAGCGCAACCCCUGUCCCU
rnacentral:rRNA from 1 species